CAAAGUGCUGGGAUUACAGGCGUGAGCCAGCGCGCCUGGCCUGUUUUGUUUUUUUUAGUAACUGUCUACUGCCACAAGAAUGGAGCUCUUUUGAGGAGGGUUUCUUGUGUCUUCUUCACAAAAGAACACUGCCUGGAAUAUAGGAUAUGAUCAGGAGAAUCUGUUGAAGGAAGACAUGGCUUGCCUCUUGGGGUCAGGACAAAAGCAGAAGGGGCCUGUGAAACACAGAUGUGUACACGCUGUCAUGGUGCAGAAGGGAGGGUGUCCCAGACGCAGAGCAAAGACCACAAAGAUUUAAUUUAAAAUCACAGUGUCUCAGCUGGAAUGCCCCGUCCAUAGCGGGCACCCCUGCAAAUUAAAAGUUCCUCAAGAGGCCCCUCCAAGCCCAGCAACAAGGGGUGAGCAGGGCCCAGCUCUCAGGUGCUAGCUGGGACAG
rnacentral:lncRNA from 10 species